ensembl:misc_RNA Y_RNA Y RNA
GGCUGGUACAAGUGCAGUGGUGUUUAUAAGUAAUUAAUCACAACUAGUUAUAGAUUCCUUUGUUCCUUCUCCACUCCUACUGCUUCACUUGACUGGCCUUUA